UACGAAGGGGGCUAGCGUUGCUCGGAAUCACUGGGCGUAAAGGGUGCGUAGGCGGGUCUUUAAGUCAGGGGUGAAAUCCUGGAGCUCAACUCCAGAACUGCCUUUGAUACUGAGGAUCUUGAGUUCGGGAGAGGUGAGUGGAACUGCGAGUGUAGAGGUGAAAUUCGUAGAUAUCUGCAGGAACACCCGUGGCGAAGGCGGCUCGCUGGACCGCAACUGACGCUGAGGAACGAAAGCUAGGGGAGCAAACAGG
rnacentral:rRNA from 1 species